UACAAGUGUGACAUCAGCGGUUAUGGAGAGUCUCCAUCCAGUUGGAUCACUGUCACAGGUAAACCCAAAACUACAGCCCCCCUUCAACUUGCAUUCAGAGCUGUCAUCUACCUGCUGAUUUUCUGCCCGUUCUUCAUCUCCACUCUGCUCUUGGUGUCUAUAUAUCGACGCAGAGACAAAGGAAAUGAAAUUUGUAUUUCAAUCCCAGCCACUCAGCCUGAGCAAGGACUGGAUUAUGAGAAUAAUGAUGUCACCACAGAACAUCGCUUCUGAAUGAGAGCUCUGUUGUGUCUCAGUAACUUUGUCCUCGUCAGCUCUGUUGAGGAGAUGAUUUGAAUAAAUGUACUAUGAUGUUCAUAUCUGGAUAAUUAAUUGUAGAUAAAAACCAAACAUUAGUGAUCAGAGGAGGAUGGCCAACAUAUUCUGUGUCUACCAGAAAUGGCACGAACCCACUUAUUUAUGUUUGAUACCGAUACCAAUAUCAUAAAUUUGGAUAUCUGCUGAUACUGAUAUG